GCGUCAGUGGCGCAAGGCGUAGCAUCACUGCCCGGAAAGUAGAAAGUGUAGGUUCGAGUCCCGCCUGGUGCA
rfam:Heligmosomoides polygyrus genome assembly, scaffold: HPBE_scaffold0003006